AUUAUGAAAAGCAAAAAAUUAUGGGCGGUAUUUUAAGCUUUUCAGAGGAAUUUGCUCUUUAAUGGAUAAAACACCAAAAUCUUACUUAAAUUUGUUACUUCAAUUUGUAUACCACUAUAAAAACAAUUUAUAACUUUAAUUGUUUAAAUUUAUUAAAUUAAAAUAUAUUAAGUCAAGGUGCAGUAAAAAUUUAAGAAUGAAGUGAAUUACAUUACUUUUUAGUGAAAAAAAAAAUUAUAAUAACACUUAGGAUUUGAAAGUAAAU
rnacentral:rRNA from 1 species